CGGGAUGUGGCGCAGUCCGGUAGCGUACUUGCAUGGGGUGCAAGGGGUCGUGGGUUCGAAUCCCGCCAUCCCGA
rnacentral:tRNA from 3 species